ensembl:lncRNA
GUUACAAUUUAGUAUAGGGACUGAUUCUCACAUUUGUCUCAAUAAACUUCUAAUCUGCUGCUUAUUAACAGUUAGUAGUUGUUAAAUUAGGUAUGGGAUAGGAUUAAAGGAUCAAAAAUAUGGUCAUGCAAAAUAAGGCAUUAAUGUGUGCUUUAUAAGUACUAAUAAAUAUACGCAGACACACAUACAAGAUUUAUAUACUGUAUAGAGAGAGAGAGAGAGAGAGAGAGAGAGAGAUGGAUGCAUAUAAACUGUUUAUUUAUAAACUGUUUUUAUUUUAAUGUGAUUAUUUAAUCAAUUUUAUUUUUAAAUUACAAAAUUUGUAAUAUUUGAAUUAUUCUUUUGAUUACUAUAUGCAUGACAAGGGUGAAAUAAGGUUGUUGAUCACAUUAAUCAUUUCUAACAGGUUAACUAAACUGAUAGGUUAGGUUUAGAUGUUGCUUUGAUAUAAAGCAAUUGUCCACUCAAGGCCAUGUUUUUAUCACAGUUAUCACUAUAUUGCUCAACCUGGCUGAUUGCUUUAUUUUAAAACGCCAUCUUCAGAGAUUGAGGCACAUUCUUUUUCACAUAAAUGACAUCAUUUUAAACAAACACAUCCAUGUCAUUCACUUCCAGAUUAUUUAAAUGAAGCCUGCUGCACUGUGAUUGGUUGCCAGAUUGGCUGCAAGUAAACUGACAUUGACAUAUGUGGCAGCGCUCACGUUUGCACUUGCAUUGUUGUGUACGUGCUGAACAGUGUAUAGUAAACCGGUAAAGCGUACGUCUUCUCCUCUGAGGGCAUUUCACCCCAGGGCCUCUGCCGUACGUGACUGUGCUGGGGUUCUAUGCCUCUCUCCUUACCGAUAACGCUAAUGAACUUCCUGUGAUUUCCUGUAAUUGGGGCACUUUGGGCGGGACACACGUAGCUUGAGUCUGCAUGAACGAGCAGCUAAUGUGGAUGUUGUGUAUAUCCAGAUGAAGAACGGGCCGAGUUUGAAAUCCUGAGGUAUCUACAAGCUCCAAGAUAUCACAGGAGUUCGUCUGACGUCUGCCUGAUCUUCCUGAAUCAUCUGUUCACAUCCAGCAUAGCUGUCUCAGACAAUAACCAAAAUGUCUGCGUGCGUGUUUGCAUGCGUUUCUUACUAGCAUGUUUUUAUUACAUGUCAGCACUACGCUACUGGCUCCAGACUAACACCCCAUUGUCUGUGCAACUAUUGUUUGUUUACUAGGCCAAGAGAAGGACAAAGACGGGAACAGUUGCUGGCCUACACUUCUGGGAGCUGGCGUCGUGUGGCAUCCCUAAACGGGAGGGAGUGGGCUCAUUGUUUUGGGGGUCUUAAAAGGGAAGUCCCAUUACUCUGGAGAUUUGGCAAAUGCUUGGGACAUGUACUACAGAUCAUCCGAGCUUACAUCGGAUCCUUUUCAAAUUGAAAAUACAUUAUAAUCAAGGCCUAAAAUUCACUAAAAUGUAGAGAAGUGUUGAAAAAAGACAAAUUACAACCUUCUUUUCAUCUCCCACUGCCCAGCUUUGAAAGCACAUGCUCCCUCAUAAUGAAAGAAAAUGAGUGGGGCCGAUUAUCACUCUGAUAUGUGGGCCUUAAUGGGUGGACUUCAUUCCCAGAGGCCCAGUGGACCGACGCAUGAGACCAUGCAUUGCCUUUGAUUGACCUGCUAUCAAGCAUCGAGGUGCUGGGAAGCCGUGCUUGCCAGUUGCCCUCAUUGCUGAUAAGGUCAGAGGUGUGGAGGUCUCUCCGAGGGAACAGGAGUGGUGCAGAUCUCACAGUUGGUGGAAAACCAGAUUACACGGUGCCUUUGUUGCUACCAAGAUGGGAUUCAGAGAAAAGUUCUGGCAAAAGUAAAAAUCAUCAGCAUUUACUCACCCUUCAGUGUUGUUUCAUUUGUGAAAAACAAAAAGAAGGAUUUUUUUUUUUAUUGCUGAGCACCAAAAAGAGCAAAUAAAACACCAUAAAAGUAGUGUUAUACAGUCUAAAAAAUUCUGCUAAAACAAUGUCAGCUGUGGUUGCCAGAAAAAUUGUGGUAGCAACAUUUUAGGCUUAAUGAUUUGAACUUACCUUUACAGUAGGAAACAUUUCAAUAACUGACAUCGGUUUUGUUCUUUGGUCACACUUUAUUUUAAGGUUCAAUUCUGACUAUUAACUAACUAUAAACUACAACUUUUGUCUCAAUAAACUCUGCUUAUUAAUAGUUAGUAAGGUAAAGUAGUUGUAAAGUUAAGGAAUCUAAAAUAUGGUUGUGCAGAAUAAGGCAUUAAUACUGCAUGUGUUACAUAAGUACCAAUAUGGUAGUAAUAUGCAUGCUAAUAAACAACAAGCAGUGAGAAUUGGUCCCUAAAAUAAAGUGGCUUGCCUGUUCCUUUAUAACACUGAGAAUCACAAAAAAGAAAGAAAGAAAAAACACACAGGUGGUAAUGAUUCAAGCUACAUAGAUAAUAGAUAAAAACUCAUUAAAAUAAUGCCAGAAACAUUAAUUUAACAACAUAAGAUGUAACGUAAAACUCUAAUGUGCAUACAGUAACUGAUAAGAAAAAUAGUUUUUUUUAAUGGAAAACCAUCAAAUAUCACACAGGAAAUUCUGGAAAUGUCAACUUCUGUUUUUUCCACUACAAGAUGAAUUGUUCUUUUUCACUUCAAAAAUUGUAAAUCUAACCUUAUUAAGUAUAAGGUAUUAAGAAAAGUCCAAUUAGAUUUUUUUACUAAUGGAAAUUAUUGUUAACCAAUUAGGAAGUUUUUACCAUAGAAUUUUUACAGUCUUUUACUGCUGAAAUUACAAUCAUUUUAUGACUUGUGCACUAUAUUCCAAAUCAUCUGAAGCCAUACAAUAAUAGCUUAAAUAAACAAACAAACAAACAGAAAAUGUACUGGUAAUGUUCUGCAAGGACAUUAUCCUUCAAUUUUACGGACAUUUCCAUUGACUCACACAACAACACAACAAAAUGCAGUGCAAAAAUUCAAAAUACAGGUAAACACCUUUAAAAAAAUCACUAUGGAAAAUUCCUUAAUUUUGUAGUAUGAAUAACAGACUUAAAUUAUGUUAUUUACUGAUAAUCUUCCCAUGAAAAUUACUAUUGUGAAGCAAUUUGGAUGCUAACUUUGCUACUUUAUUUUGGAUCUCAGUUUCCAGGAUGUUCACACUCAGGGGGAUGAGGUUUUUAUUUUGAGAGAUAAGGUCUUAAAAUGAAUUCAAUUUUCUCUACCUUUGGCUUUGAAGAUAAGGUCUUGCAUCAUAGCUUUUGCAUGCUCGACUGCUCUGUGCUGUGACUGAUGUUGUUUUCACUUUAAUUCCAGUUAAAUAAACCAUUGCCACCAGAUAGACCCAUUUAGAUUGUGCUCAAUCACUGCCAAAAAGCAGACGUGCUCAACAGUGGAGCAUUAUAAAACUUCUUAUAUAGGUCACAGAGUAAUUGAAGUAAUUGAAGAUGCUUAUGCUUUACAUGAAGACAUAGAAUUAAUGAUAGUUCUAUUCACAUCAGUAAAGCGGAGAUUUCGUGUCAAUAUUUAGAGAGUGUUCUGACUGAUUUGACAUUUGUUCUGGCCUUGAAAACUUAUCAGAGAGUGAGAAUAGCAGGCAGUAAACUUGUCACUUAUCAGUCAUGUUGACCUUGACCAUAACUGUUCUUCUGUCAGUUCAGGGAAACUUACUUUUAUCAUGUGUUGCCUGGAUCAUUCCAUGACCUUUGUGUUGUACACCAUCCAAAGCCUCUGUAAAUUUUGACAGCAUUAGUUUUAUUGAUCAAAAUAUCAAUAUAACAUAAUAUCAAUGAUUUAAUAAUUUUUAAUUAUCUCAUUAAUUUUUUACAACCAUAAAAUCUGGUCUGAACUUUUACAUUACAAAGCUUUAUAAUAUUUCUCUGACUGUCAUUGUCAACGUUCAUGUAUGCAAUGCUUUGUCAAGCCAACAUAAGUAUGAUUCUGAUACAUUUUCUAAAUGUUCUUGUAAAUAAAACGCAAUAUUUAAUAAAUGUUCUUUUAUUUAAAACAAAA